rnacentral:rRNA from 2 species
UAGGGAAUCUUCCGCAAUGGGCGAAAGCCUGACGGAGCAACGCCGCGUGAGUGAUGAAGGUCUUCGGAUCGUAAAACUCUGUUAUCAGGGAAGAACAAACGUGUAAGUAACUGUGCACGUCUUGACGGUACCUGAUCAGAAAGCCACGGCUAACUACGUGCCAGCAGCCGCGGUAAUACGUAGGUGGCAAGCGUUAUCCGGAAUUAUUGGGCGUAAAGCGCGCGUAGGCGGUUUUUUAAGUCUGAUGUGAAAGCCCACGGCUCAACCGUGGAGGGUCAUUGGAAACUGGAAAACUUGAGUGCAGAAGAGGAAAGUGGAAUUCCAUGUGUAGCGGUGAAAUGCGCAGAGAUAUGGAGGAACACCAGUGGCGAAGGCGACUUUCUGGUCUGUAACUGACGCUGAUGUGCGAAAGCGUGGGGAUCAAACAGG